GUAGGUGGCAAGCGUUGUCCGGAAUUAUUGGGCGUAAAGCGCGCGCAGGCGGUUCUUUAAGUCUGAUGUGAAAGCCCACGGCUCAACCGUGGAGGGUCAUUGGAAACUGGAGAACUUGAGUACAGAAGAGGAAAGCGGAAUUCCACGUGUAGCGGUGAAAUGCGUAGAGAUGUGGAGGAACACCAGUGGCGAAGGCGGCUUUCUGGUCUGUAACUGACGCUGAGGCGCGAAAGCAUGGGGAGCAAACAGGAUUAGAUACCCUGGUAGUCCACGCCGUAAACGAUGAGUGCUAAGUGUUAGGGGGGUUUUCCGCCCCCCUUAGUGCUGCAGCUAACGCAUUAAGCACUCCGCCUGGGAGUACGGCCGCAAGGCUG
rnacentral:rRNA from 1 species